AUAUGUAUAUGUAUAUCUAUGUUUACAUAACCUCUUUAACACACUACUUCUCCGCUGCGAAGCGCGGGUAUUUUGCUAGUUGAUGAUAAAGGCAAUAAGGAUUUUCAUUUUUGGUUGCAAUACGACAUUCGUAAUCUUGUGGUUUAAAUGUGAAAGUUGCAGCAUUUUCUGUAUUUGGGUUAAUGGAUGUAUUUAAUUUAUUUCGUAACACCCUAUUAGCAUUUGGUGGUGUGUUUCUUUUAACAUUUCUUCACAUUUUUUAUCUUAAAGAGUGAACGGCAUGCUAUUUGUUCUGUCCUCUACUAAAAUGUGUUCAUAGGGGACCUGUAGUGGCUAAAUUAGGUAUUGUUUUAUACUGCUAUUAAGACUCCAUCUUGAAGCAAGCAGCACAUGGAGAAGCAGGUGGCAGACAUCCAUUUCCAUCCGCUGUUUAUUUGCCCUGUAAAGGCAUAAUCUGAUGCCUGGUGGUAACCAGCCUUCCAUGUGGUGCUGAACAGAUGCCAGUGUACCCAAAUUCUGAGACAAAACUGGACGUUCUUUUCUUCUGCUUUUAAGAUUUCCAAUUCGAGAUGAUGUGCAGUUCACGUUAGAUUUGCUAUUUUUACAGUUACAGUGAAGUAGAAGAGUCUGGCCGUGUUAUGGGGCAGCAGUUAAAGAAGAAGGAAGGAGAAAUGUGUGCCCUGUUGAAGUAGUGGCUGGUCCUCCUGUGCGCACUUCUAGAAUCCUCCAUCUCUACCUCUGCUCUGAUCUGCUGUGUCUUUGCCAAGUGAUCAUGAAUUUAUUGCAAUGGUGCCCUCCUGCAUCACCACUGUUUGUUACAUCAACUCAAACUGCCUGUGAUGCUGGAGAGAAGAAAAGUUCACAAGACGUCCUGAAAUGGAAUUGUGACUGGACUGAGACGGCCACAAUUAUGUAUGCUGGGAUGUGCAGAGGGGGCUGUGCAGGCUUUGGCUUGGGACCCCAGAGGUUUAUUAUCUCCGGCAACCUUGAAAGCUGCAAAUUUGUCUUUGUCCCUGGCCAUUUGACCAUGCAGUGUAUUUAUUAAAAAGGAGAAGGACCCAUCUAUUUACUUCUUAUUUACUUAUAUACCUUCAAUUUUCUUUGUAACUGUAUAUUUUUGUAGAGCAAUUUGAGCUACACUUGUAAGCAAAGGUGAUAUAAAAAUAUUAUUAGUGAACAAAUGUUAACGGACAGAUCAGGAAAAAUGUCAGUUUAAAUAGAACACAUUUUUUAUGGAAUAUUGCUGGUUAAUAACUCUGAGUAGUAUCUUGUUCAUAAAGCUAAAGUAGCAUUUUUCCUUUUUUGACAAAUUUAAUGAUUCACUUUUACUGUGUUCAAAACCUUGGCUAACAUUUUUUUUUAAUACUAAGGUAUAAAAAUCUGUAAAUAUGUUUGUGUUCCCUUUCCCUAAUAGUUUUUAACACCUGCCCAUUGUUGGCCAUUUU